GCGACGCGCGGCCGAGCGCCAGGCGGAGGGAGAGCGCGAGAUCGGGCCGUUGCCAAGAGACUGGCGGCUCUGACGCGCGCGCUGAUGAGGCCGUCGCCACGGCGACCGCGGGGUGGUGACGUCAGGGACGCCGGCCGCCCGAGGCCCGCCCGCCAGCGCCCGCGUUCCCGCCGGCGCGCGCCCGCUACCGGACGCCGCGGGCGCUGCGGGCGGCUUAACCCUUCCGUCCCCGGGCGCAGCCUUCCCUCCUGCACACGCGCGCACGGCCGCUUUCGCCCAGGUCCCCGUCGUCUCGCACCCUGACAACAGGCUUGGUUCUAGCGCGGUUCCGAAACUCCCUGAAGUGCAGCACAGGUGCGGCUGCGUCCUCUUCAGCCUUCUACUCCAGGUUCCUCAUUAUCAGGCAAAGAAGAUGUUUUCUAAGAGAAGACAGAGGGUAUGGAGAAUGGUAUUUCUUAAAUAUUAGGAAGGCAGCACUUUUGAGAUUUAAAUUCUGCAUCUAGCCUGCAAUCAUUUUUACCUCGUGUUAAAUAAAAGUACCACGUCAUAGGAGGGGCUGGGAGCGAGUUAAGUGAAAUGGAUACGGAACUUACACACCUUCUCGGGAGGCUGCCUGGCGAGGGCGCCUGGUGGAGCGGGGAUGCCCUUCUACUGGUGACCGAUUGCAGGCCUGGGCAAAUAUUUCCCAUCACCCCCUCCCUGGGCAGUUGUGUGUGGGUUUAGUUUGUUCUGAAAGUCCUUUCAAGGACAUAAGUAGUCCCAGAGCUUUCUUUAGUCUUUCAAAAGUGCCUUCGUUAUCUGUCCCAAGUUUAUCCAUAGAGAUUUUGGAGGAAUAUGUUUUACUUCCUUCAAGCUGAGUAGUUUACAACUGCUUUCCUCUCCUUCGGGGGGUCCCAGCACCCUGCUAAUCUCUUCCUAGGAGAAUGGCACGCAGAGUGAAGAGAGUAGGACCUGAAUGCGCUCACCUGCUGUCCCUCGUUCUGUGACUUACGAGCUUUUCUCAGGCUCAUCCAUUCUUCCAUGCUUUGUACACAAUACGAGGAAAAGAAAACACUGAGUGUGUGCUCCUACAGGCGUAAGAAAGUGACCUGAGCAAUUCUCCACCUAACCUAGUGGAAGGAAGACUCUCAAAGUCUGCAAGAAUGGUACCAUAGACAUAGAUAUAGAUAUCACUGCAGAUUCGGGAGAAAACAAUCCGUGAACUUCUACUCUUCGCAAGAACCGUGCUAGGCGCUGCCAGGAGCACAGAGAGAAGGCAGAGGGUGUGGACCCAAGGGCGGGAGGCCGAGAGGACCAGCUGAUGUGGGGAGGAGAGGAGACAGGAGAUCCGGACCAGCUCCAAGACGGACGUGGCGGAAGUACUGGAAUCGUUGAGGGUCCAUUCACCAAUGAUCGCCCAAACAGUUGUUCUUUUUAUAAAAGGAUCGAGAUCCUUCCGUGUAUGAUGCACCUCCUGCCUGUUUCACCAGCCCUGCGGAGGAAGCCUCUUGCCAGGUCAUUAAACCACCAUCAGAGUCACGCCUGGAAUUCCACGAUGGAGGAGGCUGUACCGUCCCCGAUUUAACCCCCUGUUGUCCCCCUCCCCCAUGCCAACAUCUUGGUCACUCUGACAAGCCUUUCUGCUCACAUUCUCCAGGAGACUUCCUUGGAGAUGCCAUGGCUGUCUGAGAGGCAUCCGGGGUCCCGAUUGGACACCUGGCCCAGCCUGCUCAGGACAGCACAGCCCCAGGGAGGAGGGUGGUACCUGGUGGCCAAGAGCAGACUCUCAGAAACCGAGGGCUCCCAGGCGGUCCUGGAGACCCGCAGGCUCAGGCCACCACAGCAGGGCUUGGGGGCUGUGGAAAAGGGAGAGGCCUCAUCCCCCGGUUGCCAAGGCGACGCGGAAGCCUCUGAUUGCCCAGGAGGACCCAUGGCUCAGCAUCGGGCUUUUUCAGUACAGCCUACAAAGGUGUUUUCGUUCAUUCUGACCUGGUUUUCAUGGAUUUUGGUAUUGUUGUGUUGUUUGUUUAAAAAGAAAACACAUGGACUUACGUCAUGAAGAGGCAAAGACGUCACUGGCAUCAACUAAUAAAAAUGAUCAUAAACUCGU